UGUGGGAAAUGAUGAUAAACAUUUUCCAGAGGUUGUUUCUGAGGGUAGAUUAAAUCUACCUGUGAUUAAUCCUUGCACGUCAGUCUGAUCCUGCC
rfam:Brachypodium distachyon strain Bd21 chromosome 2, whole genome shotgun sequence.